UAUCCGUUCAUGUUCCUUGUCUGCAAGUGAUUCCCGACGUUUUGCACCUAGGCAACAGUGCUUGGACAGUGGAUUGCUGAAAGGAAAAACACCCAGUUGGCUACAUACUCAAGGCAACAGCAAAUGUAAAGUCAAUCACAAACGAUGGUGAAGAUGAAAAAUCCUUUCCACACUACUCUGUCUCACAACAACAGCAUGUUCCGGGCUCAUGCAAUCCUCACACUAGGGACUGCACAUCUGAUUGUUUAUUCAUUUUGUUCACAAAAUUUAACUAAUGAUUCUUAUUGCAUUCUUGGCUCAAUGUUUUCAGAAAAUUUCAGCUAAAGUUGAUCUAGGUGCAGCCUUAGUGCUUGUGAAAACAAGAGAUCAAAUGGUACGGAUCCAAUAGUGAAAGCUAUGUCUUCUAAAGCCAAAUAGUUUCUAUUUGCAAGUCAUAGUAAAUUAUUGCUGCCUUCCCCAGAUCCAAUUCUAUGCUGCUAUUUAUUUUGAGGACAACUGCCAGACAAUACUAC
rnacentral:lncRNA from 1 species